AUUAAAUAGGUGACUUAUCUAAUUUUUAUAGAAGUAUUUCAUAUCAGAUCAACCUCCUCCAUGCCAAAACUCUAUGCAAAAUAAAUAUCACACCCAUUUGAUUUUAGGUGUUAAAGAAGAGGAGUCCUUCUUUCAUACUCCUCUUAAAUUCCUUACAUGAUUCCACACAUCCCUUUAUUUUUUGCACCAUCAGAUGGUGCCUUGGGAUACAUGGGCGUGGAAGAUGAGGAAGAGUCCUUCUCUAGAAAGGAACUCACAUGCCAAAAUUAAUUGGGAUGCCGAUUCAUUUGUGCGA
rnacentral:lncRNA from 1 species